GCCAGGCGCAGUGGCGCUCGCCUGUGAUCCCAGGGACUCGGGAGGCUGAGGCAGGAGGACCGCGAGUUCAAAGCCAGCCUCAGCAUUAGGGAGGUAGGUGCUGAGCAACUCGGUGAGACCCUCCUGUCUCUA
rnacentral:sRNA from 1 species